rnacentral:tRNA from 1 species
CGGGGUAUAGCUCAGCCUGGUAGAGCACUGGUUUUGGGAACCAGGGGUCGCAUGUUCGAAUCCUGCUACCCCGACCA